rnacentral:rRNA from 1 species
GACGAACGCUGGCGGCGUGCUUAACACAUGCAAGUCGAACGGAAAGGCCCUGCUUUUGUGGGGUGCUCGAGUGGCGAACGGGUGAGUAACACGUGAGUAACCUGCCCUUGACUUUGGGAUAACUUCAGGAAACUGGGGCUAAUACCGGAUAGGAGCUCCUGCUGCAUGGUGGGGGUUGGAAAGUUUCGGCGGUUGGGGAUGGACUCGCGGCUUAUCAGCUUGUUGGUGGGGUAGUGGCUUACCAAGGCUUUGACGGGUAGCCGGCCUGAGAGGGUGACCGGCCACAUUGGGACUGAGACACGGCCCAGACUCCUACGGGAGGCAGCAGUGGGGAAUAUUGCACAAUGGGCGGAAGCCUGAUGCAGCAACGCCGCGUGCGGGAUGACGGCCUUCGGGUUGUAAACCUCUUUCGCCUGUGACGAAGCGUGAGUGACGGUACUGGGUGAAGAAGCACCGGCUAACUACGUG